UGCUAUUGCCGUGUGGGCAGUUUAUUCUGCACAUGUGGAGGUACACAAAUCACCAAAUGGAACAUACCGGACACCUUCUUAAGCAUCCGUCAUAUUUUUUGGUUGUUGACUUUCUUUAGUACACUUUUGACUUUCAAGAUCAAUACAAACCCGCAGUGAAAGAUAAAUUUUAUGUUUUAGAACCAGUAUUCUACAUACUUGAAGUAACAGGUUGUAUAAAAACUAACCACAUUUUUUAUGUUGAGCAUACCUGCUUACAUGGGUUCAAAACUAACCCAAAUGACUUGCAAAGUCUUCCAUGGGACAUAGUUAUUACAUAAUAUAGAUUGUUCAUCAUAGCAACUCAUAUUUCGUGAAACAAACCUGCCAUGCAACGUGUGCCAAAAAACACAAGUAUCCACGGCAACGCGCGGGAAUUCCCACUAGUUCUAGGAAGAGUAUAUGGAUCUUAAAACUCUAUGGGGUGCAUAGUGCUAAUGAUGCCGUUAACGCCCUAAUUAGGUUGGAUGAAAGUACUAAAAUUGGGGUUUUCUUACAGCCUUGUAUGGAAGGUGCCUUCAUAGUUCAUCUUGUUUGUGCUUUCUUUUAAUUAUUUUUGUUUAUGAUUGAGGUUUAAUCAUUUAGAAUUCAUGAAAACUCACAUCAUUAUGUUUCAGCAUCUGGUGUACAAGCUAAACUCAGUGCACCAGAUGCUGAACUUCAAUUUGUUUGUUUUGUUUCUAACGUUGGAGAUAGAGAGCAACAUUAAGCUGAACUCAGUGCAGUGUGCAGGUGUAGACAAAAAGGAAGAACUACUAUGGAUGCCGACAAGAACAAUAUUACCGAAGACCAAUGCUUGGCGAGUGAGAAUCUGGAGCACAACUUUUUUGGUUUUGGUUGUGGAGCUGGUACGGGUAAUGUUUCGAAUUCAAUCCUGACAUCAGGCAACAGAUUGAUAGGGGUUUUUUCUUGAACGCAAACCUGAAGAAGUAGUCUCAAUUAUUCAAGAAGUCACUCAGACGCGUUAUUACUCGAUGAUAGAAACUAGCAUAGGGGAAACGCUCAGGAUCGCAGAUGUAAUGGCGGAACGUAGUGAUCAGAGUCUUUGGACCAUUUAUACGCGUUCUUGGCAUUAUUGUCUUUAUACGCGUUAUUACUCAAUGAUAGAAACUAGCAGAGGGGAAACGCUCAGGAUCUCAGAUGUAAUGGAACGUAGUGAUCAGAGGCUUUGGACCAUUGAUAGGAACAUGAAAUGUGAGAUUUUACAGACCAUUGAACUCAGAAUCUCAGAUGUAAUGGUGGAACUUAGUGCUUUGGUUAUUAUAUAAGUUUGUUUAUUUUGGUGUUUCUUGUUUCUGGUUUAAUUAGGCCCUCACUAUCUGCACACCCUGUUUGCCUAUCUGCACACUUAGGGUUUAUAUACGCUGCGUAUUAGUCUAUACGCAGCGUAUAGGGUUAACCCUAUACGCUGCGUAUAGACCUAUACUCAACGUAUAUAAACCAUGGAUUUCAGAGCCUUAUCAGCAAUCAAUGUACAGAA